UACGGGGGGGGGCAAGCGUUGUUCGGAAUUACUGGGCGUAAAGGGCUCGUAGGCGGCCAACUAAGUCAGACGUGAAAUCCCUCGGCUUAACCGGGGAACUGCGUCUGAUACUGGAUGGCUUGAGUUUGGGAGAGGGAUGCGGAAUUCCAGGUGUAGCGGUGAAAUGCGUAGAUAUUCGCAAGAACACCAGUGGCGAAGGCGGCUCACUGGCCCGAUACUGACGCUGAGGCACGAAAGCGUGGGGAGCAAACAGG
rnacentral:rRNA from 1 species